GCCGCAGUAUUUUAACUGUGCAAAGGUAGCAUAAUAAUUUGUUAUUUAAUUGAUAACUUGUAUGAAUGGUCUGAUAAAAUAUAUUCUUUUUUUAUUUUUAAUUUUUAAUUUUAUUUUAAAGUCAAAAAGCUUUAAUUUUAUUAUUAGACGAUAAGACCCUUUAGAACUUUAAUUUUUGAUUUAUAAUUAUUAUUAGGUUUUUAUUUAUUUAUAUUUUAAAAAUUUCUGUUGGGGUGACAGAUAAUUUUUAAUAACUUUAUUUUUUUGUUUUUCAUUUAUUUAUGAUUUUUUGAUCCAAUUGUUUAUUGAUUAUAAGAUUAAGUUACCUAAGGGAUAACAGCGUAAUUUUAUUGAAUAGUUCUUAUUGAUAAUAAAGUUUGCGACCUCGAUGUUGGAUUAAA
rnacentral:rRNA from 1 species